rnacentral:rRNA from 1 species
ACUCCUACGGGAGGCAGCAGUGGGGAAUUUUGGACAAUGGGCGAAAGCCUGAUCCAGCAAUGCCGCGUGAGUGAGGAAGGCCUUCGGGUUGUAAAGCUCUUUUGUCAGGGAAGAAACGGUGUGGGCUAAUAUCCUGCACUAAUGACGGUACCUGAAGAAUAAGCACCGGCUAACUACGUGCCAGCAGCCGCGGUAAUACGUAGGGUGCAAGCGUUAAUCGGAAUUACUGGGCGUAAAGCGUGCGCAGGCGGUUUUGUAAGUCUGUCGUGAAAUCCCCGGGCUCAACCUGGGAAUUGCGAUGGAGACUGCAAGGCUAGAAUCUGGCAGAGGGGGGUAGAAUUCCACGUGUAGCAGUGAAAUGCGUAGAGAUGUGGAGGAACACCGAUGGCGAAGGCAGCCCCCUGGGUCAAGAUUGACGCUCAUGCACGAAAGCGUGGGGAGCAAACAGGAUUAGAUACCCUGUAGUCCACGCCCUAAACGAUGUCUACUAGUUGUCGGGUUUUAAUUAACUUGGUAACGCAGCUAACGCGUGAAGUAGACCGCCUGGGGAGUACGGUCGCAAGAUUAAAACUCAAAUGAAUUGACGGA